rnacentral:rRNA from 1 species
UACGGGGGGGGCAAGCGUUGUUCGGAAUUACUGGGCGUAAAGGGCUCGUAGGCGGCCAACUAAGUCAGACGUGAAAUCCCUCGGCUUAACCGGGGAACUGCGUCUGAUACUGGAUGGCUUGAAUCCGGGAGAGGGAUGCGGAAUUCCAGGUGUAGCGGUGAAAUGCGUAGAUAUCUGGAGGAACACCGGUGGCGAAGGCGGCAUCCUGGACCGGCACUGACGCUGAGGAGCGAAAGCCAGGGGAGCAAACGGG